rnacentral:sRNA from 1 species
GGGGCGGGGCGCGCUACCCGCAGCCCCUGGAGCUCGGCUAACUCGGCGCCCAGUGCACGGCCGCACCAUGGGGUCCCGCCACUUCGAGGGGAUUUAUGACCACGUGGGGCACUUCGGCAGAUUCCAGAGAGUCCUCUAUUUCAUAUGUGCCUUCCAGAACAUCUCUUGUGGUAUUCACUACUUGGCUUCUGUGUUCAUGGGAGUCACCCCUCAUCAUGUCUGCAGGCCCCCAGGCAAUGUGAGUCAGGUCGUUUUCCACAAUCACUCUAAUUGGAGUUUGGAGGACACCGGGGCCCUGUUGUCUUCAGGCCAGAAAGAUUAUGUUACGGUGCAGUUGCAGAAUGGUGAGAUCUGGGAGCUCUCAAGGUGUAGCAGGAACAAGAGGGAGAACACAUCGAGUUUGGGCUAUGAAUACACUGGCAGUAAGAAAGAGUUUCCUUGUGUGGAUGGCUACAUAUAUGACCAGAACACAUGGAAAAGCACUGCGGUGACCCAGUGGAACCUGGUCUGUGACCGAAAAUGGCUUGCAAUGCUGAUCCAGCCCCUAUUUAUGUUUGGAGUCCUACUGGGAUCGGUGACUUUUGGCUACUUUUCUGACAGGUAAAAUCAAAUAUUUAGGAUUGUUGUAUCAGUGUAGGGUUUAUUUUCCUAUCUGGUUUUCUUGGGACACAAGGAAUUAUGUUUAAAACUUGUCAUUUUUAUACUUCCUAUCUAAAUACCUACCUCUUUGCUGAUCCAUUAUUUAGGGAUGUAUAAUGAUAAGGAUAGGCUCUGAAGACAGUAUACCUGGAUCCAAAUCCUGGUUCUACCACUUAUUGACUGUGGACCCCAGGCAAAUUGCCUAACUUACCUGUGUUUCAGAAUCUUUGUCUAUAGGCUGGUGAUAAAAAAUAAGAUCACUUACUUCAAAGGAUUAUUGCAAAAUUAAUACAGAAAAAAAGUACCCUGGACAUAUAAUCACUCAAUAGAUACGGUUUAUUACUUUGAAUAUUUUCUUCUCUUUAAAUAGACUUGCUUUUUAAUAGGAGUAGCCUGAUCCUAAGCAGUAUAUCUGUAAAAUUAUGGGCUUGAUAUAACAGCCCCUUUUAGUCUUUUUGUGCUGCUGUAACAAAAUACCACAGACUGGGUAAUUAACAAGCAAUAGAAAUUUAUUUCCCAUAGUUCUGGCGGCUGGGAAGCCCAAGAUAAGGUGCCAGCAGGAUUGCUGACUGGGAAGGCUGUUGUUUGCUUUCAAGAUGGUGCCUUAUUGCUGCAUCCUUUGGAUGGGAUAAAUGCAGUGUCCUCACAUGGAAGAAGGGAUGGAAGGGCAGGAGAGUGCUCCCUUCAACCUUGAGCCCUUUUCUAAGGGUGCUAAGGGCUCUGCUGUCAUGACUUUAUCACCUCCCAAGGCCAUCCCUCUUAAUACUGUUGCACUGGAGAUUAAGUUUCAACAUGAAUUUUGGAUGGAAUACUAUCAUUCAAAGCAUAACCUGGCCAUAUAUUUUUAAAAAUUUACAUUAAAAUGAAUAUGUAAUUCUUAAAAUAAAGCAAAGUUUAUCUCUGUAUGAACAUGGACCAUACCAAAGCACAGAGAUGAACUUAUUUGGUCUCCAUAGUUGUGGAUUUUACAGGCAUAUGGUGGGCACUGAGGACCUAAAGACAAUAGCUUAGAUCAGAAAUCCCUGCCCUUGAGGUAUACCAGUUUAAUGGGGCUGAUAAACAUGUCAAAA